rnacentral:other from 1 species
GUACAACUGAUGUAUACGAUACUAUUGUUAUAUCUUUGUUCCUAAUAUUUUUACAGGGAUUAAGUAACUAUUCGCUGAUGUGCAAACCUAAAUUUUAGGUAGCCUAAAGCAAGAAACUUAAACCCACCUGAACUCAUCGGUUCAAGGAAAAUUAAUAGUAACGGUACAUCGGUUUACUU